rnacentral:lncRNA from 1 species
UGACUUUCCGAGAUACCUAGAUGAAUUAGGGCUUCCAAGGAAAACAAACUUCAAACUCUUGAUGAAUUCUUGAUCAAAAUGAUAUGUGAAGAUCAUAGGCACAUGAAGUGAACCAAGCGCAACCGGUAGAUCACUUGCCAUUCCAAAACAACAAACAGAUCAAUGGACUGAAAUUAAAAGGGGCAUUUACAUUUCAUUACAAUUUAGUUUUACAUUCCAACUUCAUUUUUCAGAAAUAAAUAACUUCUAAAUUUGUAACUAACUCCUGAAUUUGGAUUGAAUUUUAUUUAGAACCUCAUAACUGAUUCCUAACUGUUUGUGAAUUUCAAGGAAAUUUAGAAGUGAAUUUCGCUGAAAUUUAAAGUGAAUUUAUAAUUGUUUUUGGAGAAUAAAUAUUAUAAAGCUUACCUCAAAUUCACCCUUCAAUUUUUUUUCUUCACGCUUGAAAUUCGUUUCAGUUUUCAAUCUCUUCCAUUCUCCAAUUGGUUCUUCUUCUUCUUCUUCACGCUUGGAAUUCGUCUCUCCAUGGUCUUCAAUCUUCUUCACCCUCCAAGCUUCACCUUCAAUCUUAAUUUUGCAACAAGGAGGUUCUGCAACCGAAAUCUGUAAUUAGCUUCCGUUUCUUCGACCAAAGUCUCUCCACGCACCAUAACUUCAUGCGAGUUUGACGCAAUAGUUCAACAAUUUUCAACAUUCAAA